GAGAAAGUCCAUGGAGCAGCAUCCCACUGGUCGCCUCUGUAGGUUCUGCCACAAGCCACUAAAACAAGGCCCAGAGAGUCCACACAUACACACUGGGUUCCCUGGUGUGGCAGGGAAAUAUGUCUAUUGUCCUGCCAGAGUGUUUUCCUUAUAUCAGACAGAGGGGAUGACUCACGAGAUGAUUUGGGGAGAGUUCUGUCAGUCUUCCUUUUAUGAGACUGAAAGGAAGAGAUGGGCAGCAGAAAAGGGAAAGUGACUGCCCUCAUGUUUCCUGGUUUUAAAUGAAUGUUUAGAUGAAGCAUCCUCUGUCAAGACCCAUCCUCCGCAGAGUAGGUCACCCUAAAGACGGUCUCAGUCCACCAAAACAUCACACCAGACACUUUGACAGCGGAGGAUCAAAGGUCAGAAGGGUUUCUUCCAGAUGCAGAACACCACACCAUCGGCCAUAACUGCGUCCCUCGUUCAGCUCACACUGGACCCCUCAGAACGGCUGGUCUUCGUGUUGGACCAUAGAUGGACAGAUCUGCUGAGAAUUGCCCGUGAAGAUCUCUUGGCAACGCACCAUAGGAGCAAGGAUCUUCUUCAACAGGCCGAAGGCUUGUUUUUUGUUGUUGUUGUUUUUCUAUGUUUUCCACAACUUUAAAUUGUAUUAUUAUUAAUAUUAUUGUAGCUGUUGUUGUUUAGUCUACAAUUUUAAAUUAU